AGAGACAUUUAACAUUAAUUAUAAUGAAUCAACAAAAAAUAUUUUAAUUAAAGUUAACAAAGCAUUAAAGUUUACUUAUAAAGAGAUUAAAAAAAUUGUUUUACAUGCAAAGGAAGAAAAAUAUGGCUCACAUUCUCAUGUUUGUUUAUGCUUUGAUUAUCUUUCUUUCUCCGUUUUUGAUUGGAAGGAAAGGAGGACCACCAGGAGGAAGAACUUACAUUCCUUGCAUUUCUGAUGAUGAUUGCAUUGUGGCACAACCUCCUUAUGUUUUGCUAUGCGUUAAUAACUUUUGCACAUACUUUAGGGACGAUGAUUUACCUCAAAGAUAGUUAUGAUUCCUCAAAGCAUAUAAUAAUGUUUGUACUUUUAUAAUUUACUUACAAUUUGAUCUUGAUUCUCUA